ACAAAUCGUCGCAUGUUUUCUGUACCCCAGGAUUAGUAACCCUAAUAGUUUGCUACCCUAGAGAAAGAAACUCACGCCUCAUCCCACCAAAUCUGAUCUGAGAUGGGAAAAUAUAUUCACGCCGGCGUGUCCCAUCCACACGCGGCGACCUCUUUUGCGCCGCCGAUCUUCAGAGCGCCGCCGGCUCUUCCUCCCGCUCCUCCACGCCGCCCCCCUCUCUUCCGGUAUCCCUAGUUCACUCGUCGGCAUCACCUCUGCAACCUCGACCCUCUCUUUCCAAGGACAUACAGGUCAGGAGCCAGCAAUCUCUCCACCCACACCAGCGUUCAGGGCGCUCCCGCGGUGGCUAGAGACGAACUCCUCUCCUUCGUGAAGGCCCCGCGCGCUUAUUUGUGCAGCCUGCAGAAUUCUAGUUCACGCAAGGAUACAUCCUCAGGUUAGAUCACCGUUUGCCUUCCAUACUAUAUGCAUACAGAUAAGGUGUUUGAUAGUUUUACAUAGAUAAAUGUGUUUCUGUUUCCGGUUAACUGCUACAACAUGGCAUCAGGUUGGGCUUAAAUUUUUGUUAGACUGCUAUUUUUCUGAAGUUUUUUACUGAGCGAAAUUCUAAAUGAUGUCACGAGGUACCAAACCUCCAUCAGAUUUAUCCCCCGCUCGUGAACUCUGACUAUGCUAUAUGUAUUGCAGGCUGUGUUAGAAUUUUUUGAUUUAAUUUGAUUGUGCAUCAAUUAUUAGCUGAUGAUGAUGUACAUCAGUGCUUGGCAAGGUUUGUCACUCUCCCGCAAGUGAGAUUCUAUUAGAUGUAGAUGGACAUGCUUCGCCCCUCUGUAUUAAUAUGAGCUGUGCAAAAAACAAGCUAAAAUAUCGAAGUGAAGAGAUGGUGUUCCUUUGUUAUGGAUACUGCCUCUAAUAGUAAAAUACUUCGGUGCUGCUGUGUUAAUGCUUGGUCGUUGAGCGUGGGAAUAUAUCUACGCAAUUCCAUAUUCUUUCGGUAUAAUCCAUUUGUCUUGUUUAGCCAGUGCAGGAUAUGUUGAUGGUUUGAUAGGAGCCUUUUUAAACUUUGCUCUAUUUGAGGAGAGAACAAAAAUUUACAAGGUAGCAAACCACAGUUCUCAGGAGUCACUAGUUUCCAGAAAAUGAUGUAAUGCAUGUUCAAAACAAUAUUUACUCUUCAAAUGUAUAUACUCAUAUACUACAUAGUAAAUUUCUCUUAUUGGUGUGCCUAUCCAAAAGUGAGACUUACUAAUGAAGUGUUCUAGUUAAUCUACUGGUACUUUGAUUUCACUUUCUGUACAGGGCAACCAUUUCAGAUGCUUUUUGAAGUUGGACAACAAAAAUAUCCUUUCGGCGGUUUUAGGGGAAGCCUUCUUUGUGCCGUGAAAUUCAGUCACUUUUACCAUAAUAUUGUUCAUCAGUUUGCGCGACAUAUCAUGAAUAUGUGCUCUACAGCAAAGAGGGAGAGGAUGAACCAACAAAAUAUAGCCCUGGCAGUAUCGUGCCAUCUGGACUGGACAUGCAGCUAGUUGAAAUAUCUAUUAUGGAUGUGAAAGUUCCAGUUUCAUCAAGUUUAUUAUCUUCUGAUGCAAAACCAUGCCCUCUCAAGUCGUGGAUGGAUAUCUAAGGAGAAGUUAAUAUGGUGGCUUGCAAGCUCAUGUACUAUUAACUGUAUACAAGAUCUU